UGCAGCAAGCAGCUUCAUAUUUGCCAGGGUCUGUUUCUGUGCUUGAUUUGGAUAUUGCUUACAAAUGAUCUUCAAGAGUCAUGGCCACCUGUCAGGAUCCACCUGUAAUUAGACAGGAAGGGACACUUCACCUCAUCCUCUCAAAGUGACUGACAUUGACGCUAUUGUUGUCUGAAACAGAUGUCAGAAGAAGGGGAUCCGACUGUACCUAACUGCACUGACGGAUGAAGCAAACAGGACUCCAGCUGCAGAAAAAAGUAGCAGGUACUAGUGAACUGGUCAUGGGUCCCGAGGCAAGAAUCAGGAGCUGAGGACAAUUACAGAACAUGAAGAAAAAUGAUGAACAUCCCCAAUAACACAUACAGUCCAAUUCAUGAAAAACAGAAAGCAAAGGGGAUUCUGUGAAUAAUCUUGGUUAUAUGUCCUCCAGGACAGCAGUGGUGAGUGCUCCUAACAGACUUCAACUCUUACAGCACACAUCACUGUGUACAGCUUUACUUGUGUCUUGACUACAUUCAUUGCCUCUUGUGAUGUGGAAGUGCAUUAGCUACAAUGGAAGAUGCUUACGGCUCUGCAUUCAGGAUGCAGGAUUCUCAUUACCUCAGUAGGAAGGAGACUCUCUCUCAGUGUUUAUGAUUAGUGCUCUAUUCAUGUACAACCCCAGCAGCUAGAGUAAAGAAAACAUACUGCCCCAAGACAAUUCUCAAGGUCAAAUACAGUUACAGCACUGUGGUUUACUGGAUUCUGCCACAAGAAUUCAUUGAACUUCCACAUGAUAAGUUUAUAAUUUAUUUAAACUGUCAUCAGGUCCAUCCUUUUCUCCUGAAAACAUUCAUGAGAUUACUGAAACUUACUAUAAAUGCCCUUAAAGGUAUAAACGCUCUCAUUCCACUAUGUUGUACAGUACAUUUUGUUUCUUGUUUUGGGAGAUACUGUUUAGUAAUAACAUGGAUAGGUACACAAUUUACGAAUUACUUUCCACAAAAUAUCUUCAAAUUGCUGACGGAUAUAGUUAGCAUAAUUUCUAUUCCCCGAAAAAAAAACACCCUCUAUGAAAAGUAAAGAGGUUAUUGCAUAGCAACAUAAUGUCAUCUGAUAGUAUUUAUGCUCUUAGGUAAUAUUUAGCACAAAAGCAAAAGCCACAUAAUUAACAUAUUUAGAGAAUUGCACCAUGGGAAAAAUGUGAUACCCUUUAAAAAACCCUUUAGGUUCAUUGCCCAUUGACCAAAACUCAUAUAACAUCCAAUUAUCAUAAGUCUAUUUAGGCACUAAUGGUGGUCAAUGGAUUACAUUCAUAUCUAAAACGAUAUCUAUAUUUAGGACAAAUUAUCACAGCAACCGCUGAUGAUUAGUCCUAAAUAUAGACAUUGUUUUUUAUGUAAAUGUGUCCUAUGUCAGUAAUCUCCAUAUCCCCUGCCAAUCAUAUAAGUCAAACAUUAUAGAUGCAAGUUGUCACUGUUGCCCACUCUUACAGAUAAUUGCCCAUAAGGCUAAUCAAUGUUAAUUGUAACCACUGGCUAAAUAUAAACAUUUUCAUUGAAUCACAUUGGAGAGUGAGGGAAGAACCAUGGGUGGAUUUCUGAAACAUUAUUAUUUGUUGUUUAAUAACGAAGCAUAUAUAAUUCAUUUCGGGUUUCUCCAUAUGAAAUGCCUGUGUUGUAUCUGGGUUUGGCCUCUUCUGUUGUAGAAAUGGAAUGGAACCCUAUUGUAAUUCUACUAUUGUACAGCAUACCUUUUCUUCCCCAGACCUACUUAUCCACACUGUAUGCACCUUUCAAAAUUCGCUGGCUUGAUGGUGCUGUUUGAGCACAUCACCUUAUUCCAUUUUACUUCCAUUGUUCACACUAUUAUAUUACACCUUCUUAUUGUCAUAAUUAAGUUCUAUCACACAUAUACUUUAAUGCUUACUAAAUCAGCGAGAACAAUAUUACCAAUGACCUUGCAUCAGUUUAAUGAACAAAAAAAAAAGAAUAUCAUCUGUAAUUACCCCCGUUCUACCUGACGUUAAAUUAGAUUGUAUACAGAGAUAAAGCAAUUUUUCUUUAUUUGCAGGAUGACUACCCAAGAAAUAUCACCUUUUUUUUUUUCUCAGAAAAUAAAUUAUAUGUUUUGUUGAACACUUCAGACCCAGGAGAUUUUAGUGUAAAUUUGCUGGUGCUGAUUGUCUAUGCUUUCUGCAUUUAAAGUGAAAGAGUGUGACCAGACUGUUAAUGAAUUUACUUCUGCAUUCACAGUAGUUGUCACUUGAGGAUCCUGUCUUGAAGCUCUUUAUAAACAACACAAUGUAUCGGAAUGUAUUUGUGGCCAAAACCAGAAAAAUACAGGGUAAAACAAAAUGUGUAAGUGUGUUGCUGCCUUGCAUAAGACAAAAGGGCUGCCCAACAAAGUAUUAACCCCACUGAUAUUUUGCCAGUACUGCUGGUAUGUAUGGCUGCAGAAUAAACAGCUGUUCUUUCAAACUUGAGUCUGUACUUACUUAUGUUAAGUCUUUGUAUAAAAACAGGUCAUUAUAGUAGGGCUUGGCUGAAUAUAGGUUUCCCAUACUCUACACACCACAUGAAUCAAGCUUUUACAAUGGGAUUUUGAAACAGGCAAAGUUCCAAGUUGCCAUGGUCUGUAGUU